rnacentral:rRNA from 1 species
CGACCGGCGCACGGGUGAGUAACACGUAUCCAACCUGCCGAUGACUCGGGGAUAGCCUUUCGAAAGAAAGAUUAAUACCCGAUGGCAUAGUUCUUCCGCAUGGUAGAACUAUUAAAGAAUUUCGGUCAUCGAUGGGGAUGCGUUCCAUUAGCUUGUUGGCGGGGUAACGGCCCACCAAGGCAUCGAUGGAUAGGGGUUCUGAGAGGAAGGUCCCCCACAUUGGAACUGAGACACGGUCCAAACUCCUACGGGAGGCAGCAG